UCAUUGAAUGGCUGAAAUAAAAGCAUUGGUCUCUUAAACCACUUUAUAGUAUAUGAUACUUUCAAUGAA
rnacentral:tRNA from 1 species